UCCUCACUGGACGUAGGGCAUUCUUAGCCUGAUCCAGUAUACAUCGCUUGUGUCCCUCCUGCAUCACCAUCUAGAUUCUAGGCACGCAGACACAAAUUUACUAGUUGGUGCUAGGACCACGGGUCCAAACACCGACACCUUGUAUCAUACUCUUUUAUCUUUUCUUCUUAUCUUUUCAUUCUUUUCUUUUAUUUUCCAUUAUGAAUUCUAAUCCUAUCAAUCAAUUUGCUCAACCCACGAGCACAAGCUUAAAGCCACCAAAAUCUUCAAAGCCUAUCCUAACACCUGGCUAUGAAUUAUGCCUGUAUUUUAUAAACAAGAUUCAAGAACAACCCUUCUCGAGAGAAGACGAUGCUAACCUAUACUUGCACCUACGAGAGUUUGAGCUGACAUG
rnacentral:lncRNA from 1 species